UCGGCUUUCCACCGCCUCACACAAUAGAGAAAACGCGUUUCAUCAUACUAACCGACUUUCUCUAGAAGAUCAUAAACGUCCAUGUCACCAUCUAUAAUUUAAUCCUGUCCAUCCAUCUAAACCUUGCUCUUCUAUAAAUGCAAACCCACCUCGUUAAACUAAUUGCUCUUAGCCAAAGGUUCUCGACAACGUGUUUGGUAACAUCGCUCUCUUCUUGCUGGGGUGCUAUGUUCUAAUAGCUUCGCUUUUCGAUUAUUGGAUUUAUUAUUUGUGUAUUUUGCGAUUGGAUUUUUUAUUUGUUAAUGUGAUGGAAGAGUCUGAUUUUGCUGUUGCGACCGUAAUUAGGGUUUUUCUGCAUCUGUUCCUUUUUAGUUACUCUUUCAAGAUCACCAGCUGACGGUAAACAUGAGAUUGAUUUGUAUCUGUUUGUGCGUAGUGUCUCUGAAGAUUCUACGAUGAAGAUUUAAUCUAUUGCCGAUUUUUAUUUGUUAGAUUCUGACUUGACAUCAUCAUUAUGGGAUCUUUUCUGUCGGCUUGGAGAGAACUUUGAUUUUAGAUCUAGAAAGUUAGGGAUUGGUGCUUAAUUCGGCCUUUUGAAUUAUCAGUUGAUGAUAUUUAGUAUUUGGAUAACUCAUAUACCGCCAUUUUGUGGAAAAUGCCUAUGCAUAAAAUUGAAUAUAGAUUUUCUAAGACUUCAUUUUGCUACUCAUACAGUUUAUGAUUCAUGAUGGUGGUGGAAAGUUUUGGUUAGUUGGAGGAAUCGCACUGGCUUUGUGGAGCUACUACGUGGAAUUGAACAAUGAGUUUCCUGAUUGCUGCUUUUGUUUUGUUGGUUCUUAAUAAUUUCGAUUUCUGAGUUUUUAGUCUCUUUCUCCAGUUUGAAUUAUUUUUUAUUGUUGCAUUAGACUAUUCACGUUACCAAACAAAAUCCUGAAAGUGAAAAGUGAAUUUUGGUUGUGUUUUCAGGAACCACGCUAGCGUUGUGGAGCUAUCUAUUGGAACAAAGUGAUGAGUUUGUGUUCUCUUAUAGUUAGAGAUAGGGGUGUCAAAAUGGGUCAUGACACGAUAACACGAUUCGUCUAACCCGUAAGUUUGACGAAUCCGGGUUGAGGUUUAGCGUUUUCGUGUCGAAAACGUGUCAACCCAUUUAUGACACGAAAUAAAUGGGUCGUGUCACGGGUUGACUCGCGAACCCAUCUAACUCACCUAACUCGUUUAUAAAUUCUAUUAUUUAUAAUAAUAUAAAAAUAAAAUAGUUAUAAUUAUAAAAAAUAUAUAAUAAAAUUACUAAAUUAAUUAUAUUAAUAUAAAAAUAAAUUAUUUAUAUUAAAAUUUUACAAUUUGAAAAUUAAUUGAUAAAUUUGAGGUUAAAAUUAUAUUUAUAUGAUUUAAAAAAUUCUUAAAUGUUAAGUGGGUCGUGUUAGUCGUAUCGUGUUAGCCGUGUAAUUGUGUUAAUUGUGUUACCCAUUUAUCUUAGCGUGUUAAUCGUGUUGUGCCGUGUCACUCGUUUAAAAUUUGUGUCGUGUUAGGAUUGGGAAUUUUGACACGAUUAGUUAAAUGGGUCGUGUUCGUGUUGACCCUAACCGUGUCAACAGAAUGAGUCGACACGACACGAACAUGACCCGCCAACCCAUUUUGACACUCCUAGUUAGAGAGUUUUAGUUUACCUGUGUGCUUAGGUCAAUAGCUCUGAUUUAUAAUAUCUUGUGAUACGUGUUGAGUUUUGUACCAGUCUGGCAAUUAAUUUCCUCUGAAUAUUUUUUUCUUCAUACAUUAAUGAAAUAAAAGUUGAAAUCUAAUAACUCCCCUUUUCAGGAUCUCUGGGAUAGACCAAUUCCUAUUAUUGGAGGGCUUUAGUUUUUACCUGUGUGCUUAGGUCAAUAGCUCUGAUUUAUAAUAUCUUAUGAUAUGUGUAGAGUUUUGUAUGAGUGUGGGAGUUAAUUCCCUCUGAAUAUUUUUCUUCUUCAUGCACUAAUGAAAUAAGUGUUGAAAUUUAAUAACUCUCUUUUCAGGAUAUCUAGGAUAUCCGAACUCCUAUUGGUGCUAGUUAUCAGAGUAUUGUAUAUCCUGUUUGUUUCCUUUCAACUUGAAUUAAUUUUUCUUAUUGCAUUUUAAGUAUGCAAGUUUUUCUAAACAAAAAUCUGAAGGUGUGUGGUUGUGUUUUCAGAAAACACAGCAGUUUAUGGAGCUGUCUUUGAUUUUUAUUUAUUUAUUUUGUUAGUUCUUAAUAAUAAUGUCUUAUUUUUAGCACAAAUACUCUUGAUAUUUCAGGAAUGCAUCAGCCAGUGAUCAAAUUAUAGUCAGGGAAGGGGUUCUUUUCUACCUGCAUGUUUACGUCAACCGUUUGGGUUUAUAAUUUCUUACAGUACAAAUAGAGUUUUGUAUAGGUCAGGAAGUAUUUUUUUCCUUUCUAAAUUAUUCUUUAUCCUUUAAUUAAGAGAGAAUAAAAGUUGAGAUCUGUUAUGCUCCUUUUUCAGGGUCUCCCAACUUCUAUUGGUUAUCAGAGUAUCAGUUAGGGGGUUUCUCUUUUUCUAUUUUCACUUAAUUUUACUUGUUGCGGUCAAGUAUUUGAUGUCUUGCUAAACAUAAGUCUGAGAGUGUUAGCUGAACUACGGUUGUGUUUUCAGGAACCACAACCAGUUUUGUGGAGCUAUGUGAUGGAAUUUAACAAUGAGUUUUUCUUUGAUCUCUACUGUUUAUUUUUAUUUCUCUGGUUUCUGUUAAUAUCGGCUUUUGACUGUUAGUAGUAUUGAUUUAACAGGAAUGCAUCCAUUAGUGAUGAUAAUGGAGCUUUACUGUGUUUUCUUAUGGUCAGGGAGUUUGAUUUUACUUGUCUUUAGGUCAAUAGUUCUGGUUUGUGAGUAUUUUUCCCUUCAGACAUUUCAAUGGAAAGAGCAUUGAAUUUGAGACCUUAACCUCCUUUUUCAGGAUUUCCCAACUCCUAUUGGUGUUAUCAGACUAUAUUGAAAAUGGGUUUGUCUGUUCUUUUUCUUAUUUAAUUUGAAUUAGUUUUUCUUGCUGCAUUUAACUAUUCUAGUCUUGCUGAACAGGAGCCUGAAAGUGAAAUGUGUACGUGUUUUCAGGAACCAUACCAGUUUUUUGGAGCUAUGUGUUUGAAUUAGACAAUGAAUAUUUUUAGAUCUUUGCUGUUCUUUUGGUUAUUAUAUUGGUGAGUUUGGGUAAAAGUAGUCUUGCUAUUUCAGGAAUCCAUCAACUAGUGAUAAUGGAGCUGUAGUGUGUUCUUUUGUGUUCAGUGAGUUUGAUUUUACCUGCACCGUUGAAGGUUCUGGUUUACAAUUUUUUACGCGCAUAUAAAGUUCUGUACUGGUUAGGAAGAGCUUUUGGAUUUGAUUAUUUUUCUUAUCUUUUGAUUAAGAGAGAACAAAAGUUGACAUCUUUUAUCCUCCUUUUCAGGGUCUUCCAACUACAAUUGAUGUAGCAGAGUAUUGAUUUAGGAAUUCCUUCUUUUUUUAGUUUGAACUAAUCUUACUUGUCGCAUUCAAUUGUUCGAGUCUUAUUGAACAAAAGGCUGAAGAUGAACUAUGGCUAUAUUUUCAGGAACUAAACAAGCUUUGUGGAACUGUGUUGGAGUUGAACAAUGGGUUUCUCUCUGAUCUCUUAUUUUUAUAAAUUUCAUUUCUUUGAUUUUUGAUAAUACCUGCUUUUGAGUAUUAGUAAUAUUGAUUUUUCAAGAAUGCAUCAGCUAGUGAUCGGAGAGCUCUACUGUGUUUCCUUAUGGCCAGUGAGUUUCAGUUUAUCUGUGUGUUAAAGGUCACAUCUGGUUUUUAAUUUUUUACUAUACAUAUAGAGUUCUGCAACUGGUUAGGAAUUUAUUUUCUUCAUCUCUCUAAUUAUAAGAGACUAGAAGUUUAGACAUAGUUACCAGAUUCCAUCUCCCUCCCCUCUUACUGCGUAUCGGUUUCUACGUUCCAGCUUGCUGUUCUCCGGUGACCUGAUUCGUCUUGGGACGCGUAUUGUUUCGUCGGAGAAAUAGUCCGGUUCGCCGGCCAUUGUUGAAGUUGAAGUUGCAGGGUUUUUAGGGUUUUUUUAUUGAAAUAGAAUAAGAAAAUAGAAGAAGAAGAACUAGUUCACGUUAUUUAGACUUUUGUUUAUCAAAUAUGAAGUUUUUGGCCCAUUAUAUUUAAUUUAGUGGGCUUUCUAAUAAGAAUCUAAACUAAAUAACAAAAAAGGAACAUUUUUUUUUCUAAGUUAGAAUUUUUGUUUAGCAGGCAACUUAUUAGACCCGACUCCAUGUAUUUUCAAUGGACAAUUAAUAUAUCAUACAACUCAAAAGUCAAAAACGUUCCUUAUUCUAAUUUAUGUCUAUAAAUUGAAUUGCUAUAUAUGAAUAAAUUAGUAUAUUAUUGACCAUUGAACCCAUAAUAUUGUUUCGGAGUACUGCUUUCCGAAAGAGCGAAUCGAAGAGUCCUACCCCCGGAGUAUCGGAUUCCCCGUCUACAAGCGAAUAGUGUACCCGUUUUUUGUACUGCGAAUCUGGUAACUAUGGUUGAGAUUUGAGUCUUAGUGAACAAAAGCUGGUCAUGAAAUAUUUUUGCCUUUCAAAUUUGUUAUAUUUCUCUUUAAUUGUAAGAGAAUAAAAGUUGAGAUUUGAGUCUUACUGAACAUAAGUCUGAAAGUGUAAGUGAAUUAUGGCUGUAGUUUCAAGAACCACACCAGCUUUGGGGAGUUAUGUGUUGGAGUUUAACAAUAAGUUUUUCUCUGAUUUCUUAUUUUCAUAAAUUUUAUUUCUUUGAUUUUUGAUGAUAACUGCUUUUAAGUAUUUGUGGUAUUGAUUUCUCAAGAAUGCAUCAGCUAGUGAUUAGGGAGCUCUACUGUCUUUCCGUGUGGCCGGCGAGUUUCAGUUUAUCUGUUUGUUUGGGUCAAAGGUUCUGGUUUAUAUUUUUUUACCACACAGAGAAUUCUAUACUGGUUAGGAAGUAUUUUUGCCUUCCGAAAUUUAUUUUCUUUAUCCAUUACAAAAUUGAGAAUGAUAUUAUAAGAGUAUUGACUAGGAGGUUCCUCUCUUUUUUGUUUGAACUGAUUUUACUUGUUGCAUUGAACUAUUUGAGUCUUACUGAACAAAAGUCUGAAAGUGUCGAGUGAAUCAUGGUUGUAUUUUCAGGAACCACACCAACUCUUGGAGGUAUGCGUUGGAGUUGAACUAUUUCUUUGGUCUCCGCUGUUUAUUUUUAAAAAAAUUAUUUCUUUGGUUUCUGAUAAUACCUGCUUUGAGCAUUAGUAUUGAUUUUUCAAGAAUGCAUCACCUAGUGAUUGGGAAGCUUUGCUGUGUUUUCUUAUGUGCGGCAUACGUGCAUGUUUUAGGUCAAAGGUUCUGGUUUGUAAAUUUCUGCCGCACAUGUAGAGUUCCGUGGUCAGGAAGUAUUUUUGCCUCAAAAUUUACUUUCUUUAUCCUUGUAAGAGAAUAAAAGUUGAGAUCUCUUAUGCUCCUUUUUCAGGGUCUCCCAACUCCUGAUGCUGUCAUUAGAGUAUUGAUCAAUGGGUUCCUCUUAUUAGUUUGAACUAAUUUUAGCUUUUUCAUUUAACCAUUUGAGUCUUACUGAAGAAAAGUCUGAAAUUGCAAGUGAAUUAUGGUUGUAUUUUCAGGAACCACAGCAGCUUUUUGGAGCUAUGUGCUGGAGUUGAACAAUGAGUUUUUCUUUGAUCUCUCUACUGUUCAUUUUUAUAAAUUUUAUUUCGUUGGUUUUUGAUAAUACCUGUUUUUGAGUAAUAAUAGUAGUAUUGAUUUUUAAAAAAAUGCAUCAGCUAGUGAUCAGGGAGCUUUACUGUGUUCCCUUAUGGCUAGCAAGAUUGAGUUUACUUGUCUGGUUUAUAAUUUUUUACCGCUCAUACAGAAUUCUGAAGUGGUCAGGAAGUACUUUUGCCUUCCAAAAAUUUAUUUUCUUUAUCCUUCGAUUAGGGGAGAAUAAAAGUUGAGAUCUGUUAUCCUCCUCCUUCAGGGUCUCGCAACUCCUGUUGAUGUUAUCAGAUUGAUUAAGGGGUUACUCUUUCUUUAGUUUGAACUGAUUUUACUUGUUGCAUUCAACUGUUGGAGUCUUACUGAACAAAAGUUUAAAAGUGUAAGUGAACUAUGGUUUGUAUUUUCAGGAAUCACACCAGCUUUGUGGAGCUAUGUGUUGGAGUUGAACAAUGAGUUUUUCUUUGAUCUUUGUUGCUUAUUUUUAUAAUUUUUAUUUCUUUGGUUUCUGAUAAUACUGCUUUUGAGUAUUAGUAGUAUUGAUGUUUCAAGAAUGCAUCAGGUAGUGAUCGGGGAGCUCUACUGUGUUUUCUUAGGUCAAAAGGUUCUGGUUUAUAAUUUUUUCUAUGGUAUAUAGCGUAAUUCAAAUCCUGCACAGGUGAGGAAGUGUUUUUGCUUUUUCAAUAUUUAUAUUAUUCAUCCUUCAAUGAAGAGAGCAUAAAAUAUGAGAUCUCAUAACCUUCUUUUUUCAGGAUCUCCAAUCUCCUAUUGGUGUUAUCAGAUUAUUGAAUACCUGCAGUCUUUGUCUGUUAUCUUUUUCUUUUUAGUUUGAAUUAAUUUUUCUUCUUGCAUUCAACUAUUGAAGUCUUGCAGAAUAAAUGCCUGAAAGUGAAAGUCAAAUGCAAUAGUGUUUUCAGGAACUACUCCAGUUUCUGGAAAUAUUUGUUGGAGACUUGGAGUCGAACAAAGUGUAUUUCUUAAAACUUUGCUGUUUUUGUUAUUUUAUCUUAAAGAAACUGGCUUUUGACUGUUAGUAGUCUACAUUACAGGAAUGCAUCAGCUAGUGAGAUCAGGGUGUUUUAGUUUACCUGUAGGUCAAUAGUUUUGGUUUAUAAUCUCUUAUGGCGCACAUAUGAGUGUGGUAUAUGUCAAGAAGUACUUUUGCUUUUUAAUAUUUAUCUUCUUCAUCCUUGAAUGAAGAGAAAAAAAUUUGAGAUUUCAUAACCUCCUUUUUCCAGGGCUCUCGACUCCUAUAGGUGUUAUCUGAGUUUUGAUUUGGGGCCAUCUAUCUUUCCCGAUUUGAAUUAGUUUCUCUUGUUGCUUUCAACUAUUCAAGUCUUACGGUACAAUUGCUUGAAAGAGAAAAUGGAUUAUGGUUUUGUUUUCAGGAAUCAACACCGUCUUUGUGCAACUAUGAAUUGAAUAUGAAUUGAACAAUGAGAUUUCCUUAGAUUUCUGCUGUUCUUUUAUUUUGUUGGUUUUUAAUAAUACUGGCUUUUGAGUAUUGAUAGUUUUGGUUUUACAGGAAUUGCAUGAGCCAGUGAUUGGAAACCUCUAUUGUGUUAUCUAAUGGUCAGGGAGUCUGAGUUUACCUGUGUGUUUGUCAACUUCUCUGGCUCAAUUUUCUAAUAGCACAUGCGGUGUAGUAUAAGUUUUGCACAAGUUAAAAUUAUUUUUUCCUGAGUUUACCUGUGUGUUUGUCAACUGCUCUACAUGCGGUGUAGUAUAAGUUUUGCACAAGUUAAAAUUACUUUUUUGUCAUUCAAUGUUUUUUUCCUUCAUCUUUUAAUGAAGGGAGAACAAUAGUUGAGAUCUCUUAACCUCCUUUUUCAGGAUUUCCCAACUCAUAUUGCUGUUAUCAGCUUACUGAAUAGACGGUGUCUUUCUCUUCUUUUUUCCAGUCUGGAUUUUUUUUCUUGUUGCAGUGAACUGUUUAAGCCUUACUGAACAAAGGCUAAGACAGAACCAUUGACAAUUGAGUUUAUUGCUCUUAUUUUACAGGAAACAUCAGCUAGUGAUGACAGAGCUCUACUAUAUUUUCUUAUGGGUCUUCUAAAUUCUAUUGGUGUUAUCAGAGCAUUGAUUAGGGGGUUUCUUUCUCUUAGUUUUCCCGUUUGAAUUAAUCUCUUGCUUCAUUCAACUACACGGAAUAAGAGUGUGAUUUGUUGUGUUUUCAGGAACCACACCCGCUUUUUGAGGCUGUGAUGGAAUUGAACAAUGAGUUUUCCUUAUAUCUCUGAUGCUCUUUUUAAUUUUGUUGUUCUUAAUAACCCUGGCUUUUAACAUUAGCUUUUUUGUAUUA